rnacentral:rRNA from 1 species
CCUACGGGAGGCAGCAGUGGGGAAUAUUGCACAAUGGGCGCAAGCCUGAUGCAGCCAUGCCGCGUGUAUGAAGAAGGCCUUCGGGUUGUAAAGUACUUUCAGCGAGGAGGAAAGGUUGGUAGUUAAUAAGGUGCUAGCUGUGACGUUACUCGCAGAAGAAGGACCGGCUAAGUCCGUGCCAGCAGCCGCGGUAAU